GAAAACCUUAAAACAAGGUACAAGAACUGAAAAAAUCCCAAAACUGGGUCAGGCACCGACUGUGGGGAGGAGACAGCAGCUACCUGGCAGUACUACCAGGACAUGCACGAUGUUCUGGGUGGUCGACCAUCAAUUGACCCUCCUCUGCUGGUGGCAUCCCUCACACCACCUGGGGACCCUACCAGACUUCUAAUGGAAAUUGUUGACGGUCCCACCACAUCUGCCUCCUCCACUGCCUCCACUUCCUCCUCGUCCACUGACUCCUCCUCAACUGCCUCUUCGAUGGACCCUGCUCAGUCUCCCUCAAGCCCCACAACCCCUUCACCUGCCAAAAAAAGGAGGAAAGGAAACCCCAUAUUGGAUUUUUUGAAGGCAGAGAGUGAGA